CUACCUAAACAAUUCACUGGUGCUCAAAAGACUGUCACAUCGCUGUUCUAUUUUCUGAAAGCACCAACACAUUUCCAUUCUUGAUACUUAAGAUUCUAUUUGGAAUAAACAUCUAUUUCAAUGUUCUGAAUUUUUUGUGCUUUAAAGACAAAGUUCCAUUUUUCUGGUGUGGUAGCACACAGUAGAAACAACAAAGAAUAAGAAACAUUAAGGACGAGUACAAAAAGCCUCAAGAGUUACUUAGUGCAAUCCACACACCUGAAAAGAAACCUAUUCUACAACAUUCCCAACAAGUAGUUAUUCCAACCUCAAUCUGAAAACCUCUAAUUAUAGGAAAUCCACUAUCUUCUAAAGUCACAGGGAGACACUGAAGUUAACUGAGAAUGGAAGACUGGCAAGGUCAAACUUGUACUUUAGGCAGAUGAUUCAGCCACCUAUGUGAAGGCAGUUGGUGAUGCAGAACUGGAGUCCAGAAGAAAUCUGGGAGCCAUGUACACAGAGAUA